rnacentral:tRNA from 1 species
GCCCGGGUGGCGGAAUGGCAGACGCAGCGGACUCAAAAUCCGCCGGGGGCGACCCCGUGAGAGUUCGACUCUCUCCUCGGGCA